rnacentral:rRNA from 1 species
AUUGAACGCUGGCGGCAGGCCUAACACAUGCAAGUCGAACGAGUGGCGGACGGGUGAGUAAUGUCUGGGAAACUGCCCGAUGGAGGGGGAUAACUACUGGAAACGGUAGCUAAUACCGCAUACCAUCGGAUGUGCCCAGAUGGGAUUAGCUAGUAGGUGGGGUAACGGCUCACCUAGGCGACGAUCCCUAGCUGGUCUGAGAGGAUGACCAGCCACACUGGAACUGAGACACGGUCCAGACUCCUACGGGAGGCAGCAGUGGGGAAUAUUGCACAAGGGUCGCAAGCCGGAUACAGCCAUGCGGCGUGUAUGAAGAAGGCCUUCGGGUUGUAAAGUACUUUCAGCGAGGAGUCGGUACUCGCAGAAUAAGCACCGGCUAACUCCGUGCCAGCAGCCGCGGUAAUAC